rfam:Soil-borne cereal mosaic virus RNA1 complete genome
CGUGGCCAUCACGAUAGAUGG